CGCACAUUGCACCCUCUGGUAUUCCGGGGGGUAUGCCUGUUCGAGCGUCAUUACAACCCUCAAGUCUCCACGCUUGUACUUGGACGACACCUGCUCCUGCUAGUGCGCCCUAAAAUCAUCGGUGGCGACUCGUAGUCCCCAGCGUAAGUAAAUAUUUUCGCGCUCUGGGGACCUGCGAGAUCUGCCUCUGAGAAACACACUACAUCAGAAGUUGACCUCGGAUCAGGUAGGGAUACCCGCUGAACUUAA
rnacentral:misc_RNA from 1 species